CGGAGAAAAAACAGGAUUUGACUGCUCAGCUGGAACAGCUCUCUUAGACAGAGAAACUUCCGGAACAAAUACAGAACCUGAGGACAGCUGAGCAGGAAUUAAAGCACAAACUGGAGCAGCUUCAGCUUCAGCUUCAGCUUCAGGAAGUCAUGCGGACUAAAGAUGAGGAGAUACAGACAGUAUUAAC